GAUGAACGCUGGCGGCGUGCCUAAUACAUGCAAGUCGAGCGAACGGACGAGAAGCUUGCUUCUCUGAUGUUAGCGGCGGACGGGUGAGUAACACGUGGAUAACCUACCUAUAAGACUGGGGUAACUUCGGGAAACCGGAGCUAAUACCGGAUAAUAUUUUGAACCGCAUGGUUCAAAAGUGAAAGACGGUCUUGCUGUCACUUAUAGAUGGAUCCGCGCUACAUUAGCUAGUUGGUAAGGUAACGGCUUACCAAGGCAACGAUGCAUAGCCGACCUGAGAGGGUGAUCGGCCACACUGGAACUGAGACACGGUCCAGACUCCUACGGGAGGCAGCAGUAGGGAAUCUUCCGCAAUGGGCGAAAGCCUGACGGAGCAACGCCGCGUGAGUGAUGAAGGUCUUCGGAUCGUAAAACUCUGUUAUUAGGGAAGAACAUAUGUGUAAGUAACUGUGCACAUCUUGACGGUACCUAAUCAGAAAGCCACGGCUAACUACGUG
rnacentral:rRNA from 1 species